UACGUAGGGUGCGAGCGUUGUCCGGAAUUAUUGGGCGUAAAGGGCUCGUAGGCGGUUUGUCGCGUCGGGAGUGAAAUCCACUGGCUUAACUGGUGGCUUGCUUUCGAUACGGGCAGACUGGAGGUAUGCAGGGGAGAACGGAAUUCCUGGUGUAGCGGUGAAAUGCGCAGAUAUCAGGAGGAACACCUGUGGCGAAAGCGGCUCACUGGACAAUACCUGACGCUGAUGCACGAAAGCUAGGGGAGCAAACAGG
rnacentral:rRNA from 1 species